rnacentral:rRNA from 1 species
GAUGAACGCUAGCUACAGGCUUAACACAUGCAAGUCGAGGGAAACGAUAGAGAAAGCUUGCUUUUUCUAGGCGUCGACCGGCGCACGGGUGAGUAACGCGUAUCCAACCUGCCCAUCACUUGGGGAUAACCUUGCGAAAGUAAGACUAAUACCCAAUGACGUCCAUAGAAGACAUCUGAAAUGGAUUAAAGAUUUAUCGGUGAUGGAUGGGGAUGCGGCUGAUUAGCUUGUUGGCGGGGUAACGGCGCACCAAGGCGACGCUCAGUAGGGGUUCUGAGCGGAAGGUCCCCCACAUGGGAACUUAUACACGGUCCAAACUCCUACGGGAGGCAGCAGUGAGGAAUAUUGGUCAAUGGACGAGGGUCUUAACCAGCCAAGUAGCGUGCAGGAUUACGGCCCUAUGGGUUGUAAACUGCUUUUAUAAGGGAAUAAAGUGGGAGUCGUGACUCCUUUUGCAUGUACCUUAUGAAUAAGGACCGGCUAAUUCCGUGCCAGCCGCCGCAGUAA